ACCCAGCUGACGAGUCCCAUAUAGGACAAAAUGUGGAUCCUGGAU
rfam:Schistosoma rodhaini strain Burundi genome assembly, scaffold: SROB_scaffold0002765